rnacentral:rRNA from 1 species
AUUGAACGCUGGCGGCAUGCCUUACACAUGCAAGUCGAACGGCAGCGGGGACUUCGGUCCGCCGGCGAGUGGCGAACGGGUGAGUAACGUAUCGGAACGUACCUUUCAGUGGGGGAUAACGUAGCGAAAGUUACGCUAAUACCGCAUAUUCUGUGAGCAGGAAAGCAGGGGAUCGCAAGACCUUGCGCUGAUUGAGCGGCCGAUAUCAGAUUAGCUAGUUGGUGAGGUAAAGGCUCACCAAGGCGACGAUCUGUAGCGGGUCUGAGAGGAUGAUCCGCCACACUGGAACGGAGACACGGUCCAGACUCCUACGGGAGGCAGCAGUGGGGAAUUUUGGACAAUGGGGGCAACCCUGAUCCAGCCAUGCCGCGUGAGUGAAGAAGGCCUUCGGGUUGUAAAGCUCUUUCGGCCGGGAAGAAAUCGUAUGGGUUAAUACCCUGUGCGGAUGACGGUACCGGCAUAAGAAGCACCGGCUAACUACGUGCCAGCCGCCGCCGUAAAAC